rnacentral:rRNA from 1 species
AGGACGAACGCUGGCGGCGUGCUUAACACAUGCAAGUCGAGCGGAAAGGCCCUUCGGGGUACUCGAGCGGCGAACGGGUGAGUAACACGUGAGUAAUCUGCCCCUAGCUCUGGGAUAGCUCCGGGAAACCGGGAUUAAUACCGGAUACGACCACCUUAGACAUCUUUUGUGGUGGAAAGAAUUUCGGCUAGGGAUGAGCUCGCGGCCUAUCAGCUUGUUGGUGGGGUAACGCCUACCAAGGCGACGACGGGUAGCCGGCCUGAGAGGGCGACCGGCCACACUGGGACUGAGACACGGCCCAGACUCCUACGGGAGGCAGCAGUGGGGAAUAUUGCGCAAUGGGCGAAAGCCUGACGCAGCGACGCCGCGUGGGGGAUGAAGGCCUUCGGGUUGUAAACCCCUUUCAGCAGGGACGAGGCGAAAGUGACGGUACCUGCAGAAGAAGCGCCGGCUAACGUACGUGCCAGCAGCCGC